CACGGGGGUUGCGAGCGUUGUCCGGAAUUACUAGGCGUAAAGGGCAGGCAGGCGGAUCCAUAAGUUUAUCGUUUAAGGCGUCGGCUUAACCGGCGUAGGGCGGUAGAUACUGUGGAUCUGGAAUGCGGUUGGGGAAGACAGAAUUCCUGGUGUAGCGGUGGAAUGCGCAGAGAUCAGGAGGAAUACCGAAGGCGAAGGCAGUCUUCCAAGCCGUUAUUGACGCUCAACUUCGAAGGUGUGGGUAUCAAACAGGAUUAGAUACCCUGGUAGUCCCUGAG
rnacentral:rRNA from 1 species